rnacentral:rRNA from 1 species
AACGUAGGAGACAAACGUUAUCCGGAGUUACUGGGCGUAAAGGGCGUGUAGGCGGUUUGUUAAGUCUGGCGUGAAAGCCCCCGGCUCAACUGGGGAGGGUCACGCGAUACUGAUCGACUCGAAGGCAGGAGAGGGAAGUGGAAUUCCCGGUGUAGUGGUGAAAUGCGUAGAUAUCGGGAGGAACACCAGUGGCGAAGGCGACUUCCUGGCCUGUUCUUGACGCUGAGGCGCGAAAGCUAGGGGAGCAAACGGG